AGCGAACGCUGGCGGUAGGCCUAACACAUGCAAGUCGAACGGCAGCACAGUAAGUGCUUGCUCUUACGGGUGGCGAGUGGCGGACGGGUCAGGAAUACAUCGGAAUCUACUUUUUCGUGGGGGUUAACGUAGGGAAACUUACGCUAAUACCGCAUAUGAUCUACGGGUGAAAGCAGGGGAUCUUCGGACCUUGCGCGAAUGAAUGAGCCGAUGUGGGAUUAGCUAGUUGGCGGGGUAAAGACCCACCAAGGCGACGAUACGUAGCUGGUCUGAGUGAAUGGUCAGCCACACGGGAGCUGAGACACGCUCCAGAGUACUGCGGGAGGCAGCAGUGGGGUAUAUUAGACAGUGGGCGCAAGCCUGAUCCAGCGAGACGGAGUGUGUGAAGGAGGCCUUCGGGGUGUAAAGCCGUUUUGUGGGGAAAGAAAAGCAGCAGGUUGAUACGCCGCUGUUGUGACGGUACCCGGAGAAUAAGCACCGGCUAACUUCGUG
rnacentral:rRNA from 1 species